UACGGGGGGGGCAAGCGUUGUUCGGAAUUACUGGGCGUAAAGGGCUCGUAGGUGGCCAACUAAGUCAGACGUGAAAUCCCUCGGCUUAACCGGGGAACUGCGUCUGAUACUGGAUGGCUUGAGUUCGGGAGAGGGAUGCGGAAUUCCAGGUGUAGCGGUGAAAUGCGUAGAUAUCGAGAGGAACACCUGCGGCGAAGGCGGGUUGCUGGGCUGACACUGACGCUGAACUGCGAAAGCUAGGGGAGCGAACGGG
rnacentral:rRNA from 1 species